rnacentral:ncRNA from 1 species
UAAAAAUUUUAUUCUUAUUUAUUAUUAUAUAUAUUUAUUUAGUAAAUAUAAAUUUUUAUAGAUUUUAAUUUGUAUUAUUUAAAUUUAAAAUUAACUUAAUUAGUGUUUUAGAUAUAAAUAUAAGAAUAGUAAAAAUUGUGCCAGCAACUGCGGUUAUACAAUUGUUUUAAUUUAAUAAAAUAUAAAUUUUAAUAAUUUGAUUUAAAAAUUAAAAUUAUUUUAUUUUAAGUGAAAUUUAAUUUAAUAUAAAAAAAUUUAAGUGAUAAAUAAUUAAAUAAAAUAAGAAAAUAAACUAGGAUUAGAUACCCUAUUAUACUUGAGAUUAAGUUAAAUUUAAAGUAGUAAAUGAUAAAUCAGGAAACUUAAAGAAUUUGGCGGUACUUAUUCUGUUUAGAGGAAUAUGUUUUUUAAUUGAUAAUCCCCAUUAAUCUUACUUAAAUUAUUAAAUUUUGUAUAUCUCCGUUUUAAAAAUUUAUUUAAAAAUAAAGUUUAAUUUUUUAUAAUAAAAUAAAUCAGGUCCAGGUGCAGAUUAUAUUUAAGUUAAAAUGUAUUACAAUAAAUUUAUUAAUAGUAUUUAAUAUGAAAAAUUAAAUUAAAUUGGAUUUAAAAGUAAAUUUGUUUGCAUUAUAAUAAGUUGAAUUAUGAAAGUAAGUAUGUACAUAUUGCCCGUCAUUCUCUUAUAAAGAGAGACAAGUCGUAACAAAGUAGAUUUACUGGAAAGUAAAUCUGGUUUCAA